UUCCCUUACGUACUAAUCACUAUCCAUCCC
rnacentral:piRNA from 1 species